rnacentral:rRNA from 1 species
UUUUAUGAGAGUUUGAUCCUGGCUCAGGACGAACGCUGGCGGCGUGCCUAAUACAUGCAAGUCGAACGCUUCUUUUUCCACCGGAGCUUGCUCCACCGGAAAAAGAGGAGUGGCGAACGGGUGAGUAACACGUGGGUAACCUGCCCAUCAGAAGGGGAUAACACUUGGAAACAGGUGCUAAUACCGUAUAACAAUCGAAACCGCAUGGUUUUGAUUUGAAAGGCGCUUUCGGGUGUCGCUGAUGGAUGGACCCGCGGUGCAUUAGCUAGUUGGUGAGGUAACGGCUCACCAAGG